UUUUUCCUAGGGUUUCCAUUGAAGUUAUUGAGCUUAGGAGUUGCAUUUGAAGUUUGGUUCUUGGAAUUCCAGCCCCUUUAAGUGUUACAAGCUCGGGAAAUAAGCAUCGGACAUUAGGUAGACUCCAAGAUUCAGGUAGACAGAGAGACGAUCCAGCUCAGUAGGACUUCCUCUUAGCUGUUUGGUGCGCUUCACUUGAUCCGGAGCUGCGGUCCAUUUUGGUAGGCUAUUUUGAGAUGUACAUACAUGUAUAUGGGUAUGGCGGGGCCCUGUCCCAUCCUUUAUACAGCUUUCUGUUCCAUAAGAGGUCUGUAGGCAGUUGUAUCUAGU